GAUGAACGCUGGCGGCGUGCCUAAUACAUGCAAGUCGAGCGAACAGACGAGGAGCUUGCUCCUCUGACGUUAGCGGCGGACGGGUGAGUAACACGUGGUUAACCUACCUAUAAGACUGGGAUAACUUCGGGAAACCGGAGCUAAUACCGGAUAAUAUAUUGAACCGCAUGGUUCAAUAGUGAAAGACGGUUUUGCUGUCACUUAUAGAUGGAUCCGCGCCGCAUUAGCUGGUUGGUAAGGUAACGGCUUACCAAGGGAACGAUGCGUAGCCGACCUGCGAGGGUGAUCGGCCACACUGGAACUGAGACACGGUCCAGAGUCCUACGGGAGGCAGCAGUAGGGAAUCUUCCGCAAUGGGCGAAAGCCUGACGGAGCAACGCCGCGUGAGUGAUGAAGGUCUUCGGAUCGUAAAACUCUGUUAUUAGGGAAGAACAAAUGUGUAAGUAACUAUGCACGUCUUGACGGUACCUAAUCAGAAAGCCACGGCUAACUACGUG
rnacentral:rRNA from 1 species